AAGCGCUUGUAGCCCAACUCGGUAGAGGCGAUUGGCUUAAACCCAAUCUAGUGCGAGUUCGAAUCUCGCCGCGC
rnacentral:tRNA from 1 species